rnacentral:lncRNA from 1 species
CUAUAGUCCACUUCCUGUUGCCUUCUGAUGAAGAUGUAGCCAUUCCCAUGUCUGCCUGCAUGCCACCAUGCUCCCCACCAUGAUGAUAAUGGACUGAACCUCUGAAACUGAUGAUGCAGUGGUGCUGAUUCUGCUGAAACCUAGGAAGCACCUGGCCCACUCAGUAAUUCUCACAGGUGCAGGAGCUGGUGGAGGCCAGAAGGGGAUGUUGGGUCCGCUGGAGCUGGAGCUUCAGGUGGUGAACCAUGAACCUACAUGGGUGCUGGGAACUUGUUAGGGUGCAGGACUUCUGUAGAGUGCAACUCGCAGCACGAGUGAACUUCACUUCCAGAAAGACAGGGCAGGAGGCAAGCGAGAACUCUGGGAUGAUCCAAGCGUAGUCCGCAAAGCCUAGGAUUUGCGCAAGCACCAUGAACUUGGGUAAAGCGAAAGGGCUAAAGGAUCAGUGGCGGGCUGGAGAAGCCGUUCGCCCGGGCCUCAGUUUCCAGAAAAGCAACCUCCGGUCCAGCCCGGGAGCGCCCGUGCUCGUGCGCACCAGGAGGGAGUAAACUGAGGCACAGCAAGCGGAGUCGCGCACACCGCCCUUCUUAGCGCCGGGCCACCCCGCCUCACACCGUACAAAGCUCGAGAGCGCGCCAUCGCGCGCGGCCCG